GCAUAGGCCCGAAAGGCGUUGCCGCCUUUCAGGAUCCCAAAACCACGGGUACCCGUCGCUCCUUACCUCUACAGGCCCACAUGGGAGGAGUUCUGCUGCGAGGUGAAGUGCAGCUCGCCCCCUUUUCCCCAUUUUUACUAUGCCCUCGUCGAGCCCGUCGCUCGGCCCAGUCUUUGAAGCCAUCACGCCGCGCUUGUGGGUUCGCUACCUUCAGCGAUACCUCGAUGUGGCAGAGCUGCUUACGCUUUCAGAGACGUGCUGGACCUUCUUUGUGCGCUGCAACGAGGAGCCUCUCUGGCGCGAGUUGUGCUUGCGUCCGCCGUACAUCGACGUGCAGCGGAAACUCGGUCUCUUCACCUUCAGAGGCUCAUGGAAGUACACCGUCUGUGCCUAUCGUGCGGAGCGCGCAGGAGCUGACCGGCAGAGCAGGCGCCCCAGCACCGUUGUUCUUGCUCAGUCACGGAGUAUUGCUGAUGCCUCGCUGCGCUUCAAUGCCCUUCUCCCUCGUAUCGUGUCCUACCUACAGGCGAGCGGGGAGAUGAGCAGUGACGACGGUGGAGUUUGGAUGAGUCAGUUGCGCAGUCCCUGUGCCGCGGGCACCGGCGCUGCAAGUGAGGUGUCCGUGGGACUUGACAGCGGGCGCGACGAAGGCGCGGUGGAAUCCGCCGUGGGCGCAGAGAUGAGCGUGAAAGCAUGGCAAGAAAGUGUUCUUGGAAAGCCCUAUGCACCCACGCUGGCCGUGAAGUACCUCGGUCUAUCUGCCGGCGCCAUCAACUACUUCAUGCACGAUGGCACUUUCCUGCGGCCUCCCCUCCAGGCGCUUCGCCAGUCCCAGCACCGACUCGUGCGACCACACACGGAGUUCACCGACUACAACUGGUACGGCACCUGCUUGCUGGAUCUCGUGCCACUCCCGAAGUGGUGCACCAAUGCGCAGUUCUUUGUCACUCUUCGCUGGAAGACAUCUUGCCGCACGCGCCGCCUGCAGUGUUGUGGCCACGCCACCGCUGCCCUCGACGACACCGGCGGCGCGCGAGGCCCGCUGCACCUGCCUGACGAGUUGCGCGGCGUGCCGGGUGUUGUGGACCGCCGCUAUAGGCUUAGCGUCGAUGCGUUCCAGCGCGAGUACGAGGCACCGAACACGCCCGUGGUGCUCACCGGCUGCAUUGAGGACUGGCCUGCGCGUGACACGUGGCAGGACAUACACUUCUUUCGUCGCUUUGCCUCUGAGGCGCUCAGGGCGAACGGAAGGACGGCAGAUGGUCGCCGCUUUCGCAUGUCGGCGGCGGAUUACCUUGCCUACGAGGUCGCCACCAACGCCGAGAAGCCGAUGUACGUCUUUGACAAGGUGGUGCUGCGGAAAUCCACCGCCCUGCGGGCGGACUACGCGAUUCCGCCCUACUUCACGGAGGACUUCUUCUCGUACAUGACCGAGGAGGAUCGUCCCGACUACCGAUGGCUCCUCGUCGGCCCCGACGGCAGCGGCAGCCCUUUCCACACAGACCCGCACGGGACAUCUGCAUGGAAUGCCGUGCUCAGCGGUUGCAAGCGAGUGACCUUGUACCCCCCACACGUCGUGCCGCCGGGCGUCGAGGAGGAGUGGAUACACAGCGACUACUACGCAUCAGAACCGUGCCUGCGGUGGUACCGCACGAGAGGCGACUCAAUGCCGAGCGGCUCGGCGGUGUGCGGCACCUUCAGCAAGGAGCACGUCGGCGAGGCUUAUCAUGGUUCUGCGCGUGAGCUGCUACCUGUCGAGGCGUUGGUGUUCCCAGGCGACCUUUUGUUCAUUCCAAGUGGCUGGUGGCACCAGGUGCUCAACAUUGGCCACACGGUCGCUGUGACGCACAACGUUUGCUCCAGCCUUACCUUUCCUCGUGUUGUUGCCGACAUGAACGCGUACGCAGAUCGAACGGUGCGUAAGCGGUUCCAGUGUGCGCUGCGGCGUGCAGGACGUGACGAGCUGGCGGUGCAGCUGCGUGUUCCAGGUGCAUAGCGUGGUGUGCAUGUGGGUCGUCUGCUGUGGUGCAUGGCGGGAUUCGGACAAGGGCUGACGGCCAGCUAUGCACGGCAGUCCAUGCAUCCACAUCACACGUGGUGGCGAUGACGCCGCCGUUAUCAGCUCAUCUUUUCCGCUGUGAGAAGUGGCUGCUGCGUCGUAAGAGAGGGACGGGUCAUUAGUAGAGAGGCGGAACACACACACACACACACACACACACACACACACACACACACACACACACACACACAACCCCUGCAUGCGUCGAGCGGCGCACCUCUUCUACCCCCAACGCACAUCCUGCACAUGCGCACACUCCUGUCUCCCACCCCUUCGAGGGGGUCGCAGUCCUUUGUUCUGCGGUUCUUUUCCGUUUUUUUUUGCAUGUUCCUGUGCAGCUUCUCGCACAGCGUCCCACUCCUCCGUUCCUGUCGCUUCUUAUCGUUCCCUUUACAGGCGCCCACAAAUCAUUCCAACUUCACACCUUUACACGCACGCACAUCUCCUGCGCUUGUGGGACGGCAUACUCGAGCACACACGCCCCGCAGUGACGCCAAUCCGCGCCGACUUUGGCGCAUAUACACGCACGUUCGAACUGCGCUGUUAUCGAGACGCACGCACAUACCCUGGCCAGCUCCGCAAAGUAAUCCACACCAGCUUCUUAUCCGCUCAUCUUGUCGCCCUCCUUUCUCGUUUUUGUUUUCGAGCUUCCGUUUGCGCCCUCCCUGGGCCGCGGCCCGCUCUGCGUGCGCGCAGCUGUACGUGGGUGAUCCGAGUCGGCUCCCUCAGCGCCACUCAGCACGUCUCCGCCUCUUGCGCAGUACCGCUGCACUUGAGUGUGUCUGUUUCGCUUGCAUGACUGCGUGCACCCUUGCGUUUCUCUCUCUUGUUCUGUCCGCCCCCUUGUGAGCUGCGCCCGCCCAGCCUCUUUCUCUGAUGCUUCUCUUUUCGGCUGCGGCCUUCAUAUUCUCGUCUUCCUUCACGCCCCUCUCUCUCAGGGAGAGUGUGUUUGUGUGCUUUCUCGCCCUUUGCAUGUGCGCCAUGCCCCCCUCCCCCGCCCUUUACGCGCAUCGCAGACUGGAUUCCGUUGCGCUUGGAUUUGGGACUCUCUCGCCCUCGCCGCACACACCACCACGCCUCAACUCGUUCGUUUUUUUUUUUCCCAUUUUUGUUUCUUUACUCUUCUCCUUUCGCUGGCCCGGAUGACGCGGGGAGGGAGGGAGGAAGGGGGCCACACACCGCUCAGUGCGUCGCAUCGUCAGGGUCCCGCACGACCCACCAUUGCGGGGCGACGCCGAGCAGCUCCCCUAUGCCCCUGCCCAAUGCCGAGCCGCCUCUGGUGGAGGCUGAAUCAGGCACCCGUACGCCAUGGGGAGGACAGAGCGGCUCAUCGCUGCUGAUGCCGGCGGUGGGGCCCUGGACGGUGCUGCGGCGGAGCGACCUGAAAGGCCGCGUGUGGGCGGGCAGAGUUUGGGGCAGGGGGCGGUCGUCUCAGGUGACUGAGUCGGCGCAUUUGGUGUACCGGGCGUGUCUCUCGCGCUGCUUCGCACGACGCGGAUGGGGGGCCUGUGGCAGGGCCUGGUGGGUUUAGAGCAGAGCUUGAGUCGCGUUGUAUGGCGGAGAACGGACACGCGUUGGAGGCAAGCGAG
rnacentral:misc_RNA from 1 species